ACGGCCGUACCAUGCUGAAUACACCGGUUCUCGUUAGAUCACCGAAGUCAAGCAUCAUUGGGCGCGGUCAGUACUUGGA